AGUGAACGCUGGCGGUAGGCCUAACACAUGCAAGUCGAACGGCAGCACAGGAGUUCUUGCUCUCUGGGUGGCGAGUGGCGGACGGGUGAGGAAUACAUCGGAAUCUGCCCAGUCGUGGGGGAUAACGUAGGGAAACUUACGCUAAUACCGCAUACGACCUUCGGGUGAAAGAGGGGGAUCGCAAGACCUCUCGCGAUUGGAUGAGCCGAUGUCGGAUUAGCUAGUUGGCGGGGUAAUGGCCCACCAAGGCGACGAUCCGUAGCUGGUCUGAGAGGAUGAUCAGCCACACUGGAACUGAGACACGGUCCAGACUCCUACGGGAGGCAGCAGUGGGGAAUAUUGGACAAUGGGCGCAAGCCUGAUCCAGCCAUACCGCGUGGGUGAAGAAGGCCUUCGGGUUGUAAAGCCCUUUUGUUGGGAAAGAAAUCUUUCAGGCUAAUACCCUGGGAGGAUGACGGUACCCAAAGAAUAAGCACCGGCUAACUUCGUG
rnacentral:rRNA from 1 species